rnacentral:rRNA from 1 species
UACAGAGGGGGCAAGCGUUAUUCGGAAUUAUUGGGCGUAAAGGGCGCGUAGGCGGUUCUUCAAGUCUGUCGUGAAAUCCCUCGGCUUAACUGAGGACGUGCGGGAGAUACUGAAGGGCUUGAGUCCGGAAGAGGGUGGUGGAAUUCCCAGUGUAUCGGUGAAAUGCGUAGAUAUUGGGAGGAACACCGGUGGCGAAGGCGGCCACCUGGGCCGGAACUGACGCUGAGGCGCGAAAGCGUGGGGAGCAAACGGG